UACCUGGUUGAUUCUGCCAGUAGUCAUAUGCUUGUCUCAAAGAUUAAGCCAUGCAUGUCUAAGUAUAAGCAAUUAUACGGCGAAACUGCGAAUGGCUCAUUAAAUCAGUUAUCGUUUAUUUGAUAGUACCUUACUACUUGGAUAACCGUGGUAAUUCUAGAGCUAAUACAUGCUUAAAACCCCGACUCACGAAGGGGUGUAUUUAUUAGAUUAAAAACCAAUGCCCUUCGGGGCUCUUUGGUGAUUCAUAAUAACUUUUCGAAUCGCAUGGCCUUGCGCCGGCGAUGGUUCAUUCAAAUUUCUGCCCUAUCAACUUUCGAUGGCAGGGUCUUGGCCUGCCAUGGUGACAACGGGUAACGGAGGGUUAGGGCUCGACCCCGGAGAAGGAGCCUGAGAAACGGCUACCACAUCCAAGGAAGGCAGCAGGCGCGCAAAUUACCCAAUCCCGAUUCGGGGAGGUAGUGACAAUAAAUACUGAUACAGGGCUCUUUUGGGUCUU
rnacentral:ncRNA from 1 species